rnacentral:pre_miRNA from 9 species
UCACGAUAGCGUAAAAGUUAACUCAAAUUUGUAUGGAUUUGGAACAUUUACCUAGGUUUGCCGCUAGGGGCGCUGUUUUAACAUCAUACAAAUAUAAGUUAACUAUUACGCUAUCGA